CCAUCACUUUUUUUUGAAUUUUUUCAGGGAAAGCCUAAGGCUGAGAAAAGCCGAUCAUGCAUGUACGAGUGUCCCGCGCUGAUCAGGGAGAAGGUUCAUUGGCACAUAGACUUCUGUGUUAACAGGGCGACAACGUCAAGGAUGGCAUCUGCGAGAACUCUUUUGUGUUAGAUAAACUGAUGAUUAUGUCUGGAUCUCCGGGGGCAGACACUAUCAUACUGAAGCUCAGCCGGACCACGACUGUCAACAGGGUCACCGUAUUCUUUGAGGAACACAAACAAUCCAGCUAUCAUAAGGAUGAGGACGGAGCACAACUCUCUCAAUUCCCAAAAUGAGGAUCCAAAUGAGCUUGGUUACGUACUAAAUUAUUGUUGAGGAUCUCAGGUAAUCGUUGCAGUUGAAGAUUACGCCCCUGAUCAUCAUUCUCAUUUUCAAACUUGCCAUUUAUCAGAGGAUUUGGAUGGGGUGCAUUCAUGCAUUAUAUUGGAGCAAGGACCUGCCGAGGAGGGGGAUACCAUGGGGAGGCGAACCUGGUAAAAUAGGGGUGGAAAGUAUACUAUAGACUGUGGGGUUUGUGUAUCCUUAUCCAGGACAUUGUGAAGGCUUCUGAUGCAGUUUACAAGAAGCAAUUGGUGAGCUAAUUCAGAGAUAAGUGAAAUGAUAAUAAGAAGGUUAAAUAAUGUUGUUCAAUCUUUCCGUCAAGCAACCUGUUUGGCCCCAAAUGUCCGCACCGACGCGGUGACGCCCGUGGGCGCCACCGUUCCUUCCUGAAGGGCAUCGGGUGUUGCUUGGCAUGCGGAGGUUCAAGGUGCUAGGAGCGAGGUGGUAAAUCUCCGGUGGGCUCAACGGUUGCGGGUCAUCAUCAUUU